UUAAGGAGUUUAAUUAUGCUUUUUUUUUUAUAGUAUAUGCUGUAUAAUAUCCUUUAAAACAUUUUAUUGAAGAUUAUUGUAUGCAUUACAUUAUUUUACACAUAUACAAUAUAAAGCUAGACUAGUUAAAAUACAAGAUAACUCUGUAGUCACAGUCUGUAGUUAGGUUUUAACUAAUGACUUAAUAUGCCAUAAACAAUUUGAACAGCCCAGAGCUUCUCUGGAAAUCAAUUACCUCACUGUGCUAGUUCAGGCCAUCAAAGAAGAGGCUAAGAAUGUGGAAAUCAAAGUCCUCAGGCCCUCCUGCCAUGACAGGGUGACUGCUUCCUGAAAAGAUGCAAGCUGAAAUUUAUGUCUCUAAUUUAGAGUUGAAGUGCAUGGAUGACUUGGAAUUCAUGGCACUGCAUAAACAACACUGGAAGAAGGUAACAUGUAAGAAGCACUAACAUGACUUCUGUUCAGUGAACUAGCAGUGAGCUGAUAAGGGGCUUGGUACUGUAUAUCAGAGAGAAGAAAAGACCUAAUGAAAGACCAGGAGAAACGCGAGUGAAGAAGGAGUCUGCACAAUGCUAGACAUGAGAGCAGUGUGCAGUGGCGUCAAACCAUCGCAACUCCUUCAUAGUGUCCUUAGUAGUGUCUGUAGGAGAGAGAGAACUUCAUUUAUUCCCCUCUUCUUGUCAGAUGAUUUCCUUUAAGUAGGUACUUGCUUACAUUUGUUACCUCCUAUCCACCUACCAUCUCCUGCUUUUGCAUUACCACCUGGGAAAUCCCUGCUGAGAGUACCAGAUCCCAGUCUAUAGAGCAUGUUCUUGUGGGGGAUGAGAUAGGAGUUAGUACUCAUAGAAUGAUUCUAUGAUUAGUACUCUCCACAAUGAUGUUGUUUAAGGAUUCUACUAGUUAAUAAAUAUCCAAUGCUUCUUCCUUAGAUCUCAGCUAUAGUCCUAUAUACAGCACUAAGAACUUCUUCCUGCACCGGGAAAUAUUUCUAUAUGUCUAGAAAUAGUAUAUAGCUAUACAUUUCCUGGAGUACUUCAGUUAGUUUCUUGUGCUAACCUGUGAAACUGCAGUUUUGUCACUACAGGAUCAAGGCCCAGCCCAUUCCCCUUGAUGCUGUGGAAGAAAACUGUGAAGCAGCUGAUAGAGAGUUGGUCCCAUUUAUUAGCCUCAACUUUACUGUUUUGCACUUAUGUACUAAUGCUUAGAAGCAGGGUAGGAUUGCACAUCAGAAAGUAAACACUGUAUAUAAUAGGAAGUGAGACACAACCCCUACAUCCUAAAGCUAUACGCUGCCCUGUUUGAAUAUCAACAUAGAAUCACAGAAUCAUAGGAUGGUUUGGGUUGGAAAGGACCUUAAAGCCCACCCAGUUCCAACCCCCUGCCAUGGGCUGGUUGCCACCCACCAGAUCAGGCUGCCCAGGGCUCCAUCCAGCCUUGGCGUGUAUGCCUCCAGGGAUGAGGCAUCCACAGCUUCCCUGGGCAAUCUGUGCCAGUGCCUCACCACCCUAUGAAUAAAGAAUAUCCCCCUGACAUCUAGUCUAA